rnacentral:tRNA from 1 species
GGAGGAGUACCGAAGUGGUCAUAACGGGGCGGUCUUGAAAACCGUUGGGGUCCAUGCGGCCCACGUGGGUUCGAAUCCCACCUCCUCCACCA